GGUGGCUCAGUGGUGGAGUACUUGCCUUGCAUGCAUGAGGCCCUGGGUUCAAUUCCUCAGCACCA
rnacentral:tRNA from 1 species